rnacentral:sRNA from 1 species
AUUGGAGUAGACGCAAAGGUCCUGGAAUAUUGUUGUUGUAGUACCAAGUAGUCAUGGUAUAGAGAAAUGUAAAAUGAAAGAUCUGAUCCGAUUCAGGUCAGUAAUAUUUUCAUUUAUCCUGUGAAGGCAUUUUAUCGAUUGGAUUAUUAUGGCAGAUUGUUAUGUAAUCAUAUUACUGUGUGCUCAACUUCGUCUCUAUCCUUAGUGUCUAGCAAAAUACUCAACAUUAUUAUUUUUAUAGGCCUAAUACUUAAU